GUUCCCUCCUCGCCGCGCAGCCGGGCGCGCACACGCAGACCUGCUCCUCGCCAGUUGCACCGCACAGGAUCCCCCGACAGUGCGCUCACCGCCUGUGAUCCCUGCGUAUUGCGCUCCGCUGGAUGUUUUGCGCAGAGGACAGCAGCCUUCCUGCCUUCCACCGAUCCCCCUCCUCCUUCUCUUUAACUUUUUACUGUUGUUUUCUUUUCGCCUGCGUGCGUCCAGGGGCACCUGUUCCCGACAAUAUGGUUCUCUAAGGGCUGAGAGAACCCUGUAGAUCCAGGCGUUCCAACUUGGAGGGGCUUGAUGGUGCGGUUAUUUGUGCCAGAUUUGGAAAAGUUGCGCUGCGUCAAGGAGCAUGGGCGCAAACUUUAAGAGCUUUUUAUAAUCCAGAGACAGUUUUUUUUUUGUUGUUGUUUGCUUUGUUUUUCUAUUAAAGAAUGAAGGCAGGUGAGUCACCCGUGGCGUGAGAGGCGCGAACAUCUCCACGGCUCUCCCAGGUAGUGGGUGAGAAAAAUCAGGCGACACGGAGGGGAAGUCGUGAUCUGUGCGGCGGAUUGCGCUACGGAGGACGGAGGGAACGGACCGAUGAGACAACAUGGGUCCAUUGCUGAGUGAUGGGCGAUUGACACACCUUCUCUUCCCUCUGCUCCUCCUCUUGCGAGCACCACUCUUAUUCAGCUUUGGAGAGCGCACCUGCCCCAAUUUUUGCCGAUGUGAAGGAAAAACUGUCCAUUGCGACUCAUCUGGAUUUUUAGAUGUACCAGAAAACAUCUCAGUUGGUUGUCAGGGCCUCUCUCUGCGCUACAAUGAACUGCACACCCUGCUACCAUAUCAGUUUGCUCACCUCAGCCAGCUUCUCUGGAUAUACUUAGACCACAAUCAGAUCUCAGCUGUUGAUAGUCGAGCAUUCCAGGGGGUCCGCAGGCUUAAAGAGCUAAUACUGAGCUCCAACAGGAUCACAUCUCUACAUAAUUCGACAUUCCAUGGAAUUCCCAACCUUCGCAGUCUGGACUUGUCCUACAACAAAUUGGAAAUCCUGCAGCCAGGUCAAUUCCAUGGGCUACGAAAACUACAAAACCUUCACCUACGCUCAAAUGGUCUCUCCAACAUCCCAAUUCGGGCAUUCCUGGAGUGCCGAAGUUUGGAGUUUCUAGAUUUGGGCUACAAUCGAAUCAAGGCUCUCACUCGCACCACCUUUUUGGGGCUACAGAAGCUGAUGGAGUUGCAUCUGGAACAUAACCAGUUCUCACGGAUCAACUUUUUUCUGUUUCCACGUUUAGCCAAUCUGAGAUCACUCUACCUGCAGUGGAAUCGCAUUAGGGUGGUCAACCAGGGCCUUCCAUGGACUUGGUAUACACUUCAGAAACUUGACCUGUCUGGAAAUGAAAUCCAGACACUGGAUCCCGCCGUGUUCCACUGCUUGCCCAACCUUCAAGUCCUAAACCUGGAAUCCAACAAACUGUCCAAUGUGUCUCAAGAGGCAGUGUCAGCAUGGAUCUCGCUGACCUCCAUUAGCCUUGCUGGCAAUAUGUGGGAUUGUGGAACAGGCAUUUGCCCCCUUGUUGCAUGGUUGAGAAAUUUUCGGGGCAGUAAGGACACCACUAUGAUAUGCAGCAGCCCAAAGUAUCUCCAGGGGGAGAAAAUCAUGGAAGCCACGAGGACCCAUGGUAUUUGUGAGGAAACUGAUUACAUUCUGACUGAAACACCCUCCCCAAUGUCGGAGCUCAUUUCUGAAGCCACUGCUGAACCAACCUUUGCCCCGACUAGCGGAUCUCCACCUCUGCCGCCAACGAACACCUUUGGUCCUAUCCCGCCAUUCAGACCUCGGCCUAUUCCCCAUCCUACCUAUCCGGGGCAUAUGAGCAAAGACCCUAGAGACUCAGUGGUUCGCCCUCGACCCACUCAAUUGCCGCCUCCUGAGAUGGAGCACAUGACUCUGCACAAAGUGGUGGUGGGCAGCGUGGCACUCUUCUUCACCAUGUCCCUAAUCUUGACAAUUAUCUAUGUGCUGUGGCGGCGCUACCCAGGUGCAACCAGGUUGCUGCAGCAGCGGUCCAUGGUGGGACGGAAGCGUCGCAAAAAGAGUCCAGAGCCAGAGCAGAACCUCAGCUCCCAGCUCCAAGAGUAUUACAUGAGCUACAACCCUGCUGCCACACCAGAAGCAUUGGAGGUGCUAGGCAAUGGCACUGGUUCCUGCACUUGCACAAUUUCUGGCUCCAGGGAGUGUGAGGUAUGAUUCAGCGCCACAGCCCUAAAAAUACAAACUCAAAAUCAAAAUACAAGGCUCAACAGAGAGAAUGAGUAUACGUGUCCACGCCCCUUACCCGGUGCCUGGCUAGGAGACGUGCCUACCAUCCAUUAACCCAUCAAAAAGGAACUGCUAUUGGAGGGUACAGCAAUGAAUCGAGGAAAGAGACAUAUGCAGAGCACCCAUCAGGAUCCUAAUCUCAUAAUUCACAUUCAAGGAUACAUCUACGAUGGUUCUCCAUGCUAACGAAGGCGACCGCAGACUAAGACACAGAGGAGAUAAUACUGUCUUUUUUCCCCUCUUUUUUCUUAAGGUUUUAUAAAGUCUUUUUUUUUGGCCUGUGGUCUUUGGUCAUCGGCUUUUGCUGCAUCUCGCUGCACUUCAUCACCACACAAACACUGACACUGAUGGUCAUGGAAACACCGUCACAGAAACAGCAGAGCCCUGGAGGAAGACUAAUGAGAACUAAUGGAUGAUUAUAACCAACAUGGGAGCUUAUUGUAUAGACUAUAAUAGUGUAUUGUCUCCAUGAGGACAACGAGGCAUUGUACAAAUUCAAGAGGCUUAAAAAAAAAAAACGUGUAAAACUGAGCAAUGAAUCAUUAAUGAAAAUGCACUGAACAAGUAGCUCUGACCGCUCUGCUAACACAGCUGUGUAUAAUUUAAAGUGGGUUUGCAUAUUUCGAUUCCAUCUUCUAUCGUUUUUUUUUUCAAUGUUUUUUUUAAUUUUAUUUUUUUAAAGCAAAAAAAAAAAAAAGAAAGACUAAUCAAAGGCUAUGAUGGUGUAAAUGUGCCUCACUGGAGCGGAAACAUUCUGAAAUGAGUGGCUGGGUUUCUGUGCACCUGUCAGUAAAGAGGAAUCAUCUGGUGGAAGUCAGCAGCUGGAAUAUUGUUUGAAGCUUGUCAAACAUUCGCCAGAGGAAAAAGCAAACUAUGCCCAAGUCAGUUAUCUUCGUGGAAGUUAUUUGUUUGUUUCUUUGCUUAUUUUUUUCCAAAAAAAGGAGGAGUUUUUCUAAGUUGUUUCUAAUUGCAAUCAAACCUCGACUAAUGUAGUUUGAUUUGGAGGUCAGACAAGGGCAAUCAGAAGCAAAAGAAAAAGAACGAAAGGGAAAAAAGGGAGAAAAGAAACUCUAAUCGAAGGUAAAAAUGUAAUUUUCUGAAAAUUAUAAUGUUGUUAAUGUUGUACUUUAUAAAUAUGUGUUCCUGCCAUUUUCAACACCAAAUACCAAAAGAGCCAAAUGGAUCCUAUAUGGCUCUCCCAAACACAUCAUGAACAAAAUCCAGGAUUUGCUGUCUUAAAAUGAAAUCCACGAGAAAUCAAAAAGAAGCCUCAACUCCUCUCAUGUCCAGCAGUGCUCUCUGUUAACGAAUCUGCUUUUUCUUUUCUCUUUGUUUUCUUCAUGUGCGUAAACGUGUACGUCUUUGUGAACAAAUGAUCUCGCAGCGACGGUCUUCGUUAGGAAGAUCCUGUCCGAAAGAUAACUCCGAGCACUGCUUUAUACAUUUCUGUUGAGAACACGCUUCACCUUCCUUUAAAAUAAUCCGCACGUCUCUCCACCUGGAGGAGACUGCAGAUGUUUGCCGGUUCUGCGUGUGCUUGUGUUUCAUUUGAGUUCUUAAUUAUAUCUGAGACACACACUGAGUUGUGGAUUGUUUGUUUGAACCUUUAAACAUAAUCUUUCUACACCGGAAAAUGAUAAUUUUCUAUUGUAAAUUUAUGCUUCCCCCUACCCCCAAACCCCCUUCCUUGAAUUUGUUGAUAUUUAGUAAGCAGCUGUAUUCUUUGUUCACUUUCAACAGUAUGUUUUAUAAUGAAAAUAAUGACUUUAUUGGUGAGCAAUAUGAAUUGGUCAAAUUAAAAUAUUCAUUAAUCAUU